rnacentral:rRNA from 1 species
AGCAAAUAGAUACCCUGGUAGUCCAAGCAGUAAACGAUGUGGACUAGGUGUGGGGGGAGUUGACCCCCUCCGUGCCGGCGCCAAACGCAGUAAGUCCACCGCCUGGGGAGUACGGCCGCAAGGCUAAAACUCAAAGGAAUUGACGGGGGCCCGCACAAGCAGCGGAGCGUGUGGUUUAAUUCGACGCAACGCGCAGAACCUUACCAGGGCUUGACAUCCUCGGAACCUAGCUGAAAGGCUGGGGUGCCUGCAAGGGAGCCGAGAGACAGGUGCUGCAUGGCUGUCGCCAGCUCGUGUCGUGAGAUGUUGGGUUAAGUCCCGCAACGAGCGCAACCCUCGUGGCUAGUUAUGCUGUGUCUAGCCAGACUGCCGGGCGCAACCCGGAGGAAGGGGGGUAUGACGUCAAGUCAGCAUGGCCCUUACGCCCUGGGCGACACACACGCUACAAUGGCCGGGACAGCGGGCAGCCAAGCGGUAACGCGGAGCCAAUCCCUGCAAACCCGGGUCUCAGUUCGGAUUGGGGGCUGCAACUCGCCCCG